GUCAUAUUGGAGAGUCUGCUAUAAUUUCUUGUGCAAAAGAUGGAGUGAAUUUUUCUGCAAAUGGAGAACUUGGACAUGGAAACAUUGCCACAAACAAGUAAUUACAAUAAAGAAGAGGAGGCUGUUGCCAUAAUGAUGAAUGGGCCAGUUCAGCUAACUUUUGCACUAAGUUACUUAAAUUUCUUUAUAACAGGCACUCCACUCUCUCUUCCCAGUAACACUCAGUAUGUCUGCAGAUGCACCCCUUGCUGUAGAGUAUAAGAUUGCCGGAUAUGGAACAUUUAAAGUAUUAUUUGGCUCCCAAAAUUGAGGAUGAAAAAGGAUUUUAGAAAUUCUUAGAAUCCAAGAAAAUAAAACUAAGCUCUUUGAAAAUUGCUUCUGAGAUUCCAGCGUGUACUGAAGUCAUUUCCAUCAAAAAAUUUAUGCCUCUGAAUACACAGGUAGAUGCGGUUUUCUGUAAAUAACAUAUUUUUUCAUCUAUCUUCUAGAAUCUAUUUAAAGUACAAAAUCCAAAGUCAAAUCUGGUCUCAUUAACCUAGAGAGAUAUCUGCUUUACUUACAAAUAUUCCUUCUGAUUUUUAUAACAAGAGGGUUAUAAAAGGGAUCUUGACUCUAAAUGCAAUUUUUAAGAAUUGUGUUUCUGAUUUAAAUAAAGUUUAAUCUGAAUUUUAAAUGUCAGAAAAGAAACUACUAUAGCACAUUGGCAGAGUAAUUUUGUCUUUUGAAUCUACUAAUAAAAAAUGCAGUUUGUA
ensembl:lncRNA novel transcript